ensembl:lncRNA
AUGUCAUCACAUGUCCACUUAUUUGCACUCAGCAUUUCUACAGGGGAGGAUGAUCACUUCACAUGCACAAUCUUCAAGAGUUACAUCUGCCAGAGAGAGUUACACAAAUAUCGGAAAAAUCAACUUUGGCUCUUAAAGUAUCUCAGGAUAUUUUGUUUGUUUACUUGCUUUGAAGAUUAUGAGGACCUGGAGAGCAAGCUAGAAGUUCCCUUGCAUGUAAUGCAUGUAGUGCUGCUGAAAAACCUGAACAGUGACAGUGAUGGGAGCUGGUAAGUGCAGUUCCAAGUGAUCAUUUCAUACCAGGAAAACAUUUUUGCUCAAAACAGAGGAUGUUCUAAGCUUUUAAUAGCUUUUCCCACAGACAAAAAUCUGGAGUGUGGAAAUAAGUCUUCAGUAAAAGACAGAGAUAAAAUGGACACUUCAACACAAAUCCACUUUGUGAUUUUUUGAAAAGAAAUACAAGUAGACUUCAUCACAGAAAUUUUUAAAAAAUUCAGAGAUUUCAGAAAAUUUACAUUCUGCUGUCAGAUCUCAAUGAUAUUUGUAAGUAACCAAAUUAAAGUCUUUGACUGAUGUGUAAUUCAGAUUCAAUUUCAUCCUUCUUUUCUGUUUUUUUUUUUUCUAACUCUUAUCUAAUAGUCUACUCAUAAUCUACUUUCCACACCAUGUAUUUUUAAGAACCUUGAUGAGGUCUCUUUGAUUAGUUCUUUUAAAUUAUUCACAUCUUCUCUCAUAUCAGUUUUGCUCUACUUUGGAAGAGGUAAGAGGCCUUUUAAUUUCUUGGCUGAAAUCCUGGGUCCUUUGAACUUAAUUGCAUGUCUGCACUCAGUUUCAUUGCAACCCCAACUUCCUCUUUAUCUCUCAAUCUCCUCUCCUCAGGAAGGUUGUGAUCAUUCCUACCUAUUUAUCUGUGUCCAUUUACUACAAUAUGAAAGCUAGUUUAAAAAACAAGGUAGAGUGCUUUCUGCACAAUCACACACACCAGAGAUACACCAGAGAUAUUCUGUGUACUGUGACAGCAUUAAAUAAUCCUUUGCACUGUCAUAUAUAAGGCAUGUAUCGCUGAGGACGUGAAAACGCAGGGACCAUAUGCAUCACUGAAAGGUACGCUGCAGUUCACUCAUGAGUUAUGAAAGUCUGAACAAAGCCCUAAUUUUGUGUUAUGCUUUAUGUUCCAGUGCAGCUUGUUUCCCUGUCUGUGCGGGAGGCAUAACUUUAGAGCUGUUCUAAGAGGGCGUUCUUUAUUUGCUUAAAUCAGAUGUACUUUUAUAUAUAACUCUCCCUUCCCCUACAAGCCCAGGUUUGACACAGGUUUUACUUGCCUGUUUGCACCUCUUAGGAAAGCAAGCUAGUUGAAAGCCAUGGUAUGCAGCCCUUCACAGCUUGUUUGAAAUCCUCCUGUGUCUGCUUAUUUCUGUCCGUUUGCUGCGGUUCAUCUCCCCUUCAUCCGCAGCAGCCCAGCCACAGUGGCACCCUGCUGGGAAAGGGGUUAGGGAUACAAUCUGUAUCAUGACAAUACUUUGGGGAAGGGAUAGAUAUCAGAACUGUUUUCAAUCCAGAUAAUUUCACAAUCCCAAAUUUGCAGUGCAUCCUCAUUACAGUUGCACAAGUAUAUUUGAAGACUCUAAUCUGUGCAUUGUUAGGAUUAGAGGGCUUCUCACUGAUUUCAUCACAAAGUAAAAGGAUUCAUAGGAAUCUACUAAGAAUUUUGAAGAAAAAUACAGAGUAAAGCAAGUCAUGAAAAAUUCAUGAGAGCUUGCAAAAUUGUUCCUUUUCUUUCAGCUUUUCUACCUUACAGUGUUGUUACAGGCUUUAAUUCACAAAAUGUUUGCAAAGCACUUUGGGAUGCUGAGAUAGAAACCAGGAUCUGAACCAUUCUAAAGAAUGAGUGAUUAUAAAAAUGUAAAUUAAAGUAAUUAUACAUGCAAACUUCCAUUAGGCUGUUUAAUACAAUACUUAAUAGAGUUUCAUUCUUUAUGCCUGCAUGUAAAUUAUGCACCUUGUUAUGACAUCAUUUAUUUUAUUUGCACAUGCACAGUUUUAUUCUACCUACAAAAUAUGCAUGUGUUUAAAAUAAACCUAAUCUCUCACUGGUCUACUGUAAACA